rnacentral:rRNA from 1 species
GAUGAACGUUGGCGGCAGGCUUAACACAUGCAAGUCGAGCGGGGGAAGGUAGCUUGCUACCGGACCUAGCGGCGGACGGGUGAGUAAUGCUUAGGAAUCUGCCUAUUAGUGGGGGACAACAUCUCGAAAGGGAUGCUAAUACCGCAUACGUCCUACGGGAGAAAGCAGGGGAUCUUCGGACCUUGCGCUAAUAGAUGAGCCUAAGUCGGAUUAGCUAGUUGGUGGGGUAAAGGCCUACCAAGGCGACGAGCUGUAGCGGGUCUGAGAGGAUGGACCGCCACACUAGGGCUGAGACACGGCCCAGUCUCCUACGGUAGGCAGCAGUGGGGAAUAAUGGACAAUGGGAGGAACCCUGAUCCAGCCAUGCCGCGUGUGUGAAGAAGGCCUUAUGGUUGUAAAGCACUUUAAGCGAGGAGGAGGCUACUUUAGUUAAUACCUAGAGAUAGUGGACGUUACUCGCAGAAUAAGCACCGGCUAACUCUGUGCCAGCCGCCGCAGUAA